GUGCUCAUUUCAGCAACACAUAUACUAAAAUUGGAAUGAUAAAGAUAAGAUUAGCAUGGCCCUUGUGCAAGGAUGACAUGCAAAUUCGUGAGGCAGUUCAUAUUUUU
rnacentral:snRNA from 1 species